AGCGGCGGAUGGGUGAGUAACACGUGGGCAACCUGCCCUGCAGUUGGGGAUAACUCCGGGAAACCGGGGCUAAUACCGAAUAAUCAGUUCUUCCAUGAAGGAACUUAAAGACGGUUUCGGCUGUCUCUGCAGGAUGGGCCCGCGGCGCAUUAGCUAGUUGGUGGUAACGGCUACCAAGGCACGAUGCGUAGCCGACCUGAGAGGGUGAUCGGCCACACUGGGACUGAGACACGGCCCAGACUCCUACGGGAGGCAGCAGUAGGGAAUCUUCCACAAUGGACGAAGUCUGAUGGAGCAACGCCGCGUGAGGAAGAAGGUUUUCGGAUCGUAAACUCUGUUGGAGGGAAGAACAAGUAUGAGUAACUGCGUACCUUGACGGUACCUCUUAGAAAGCCACGGCUAACUACGUGCCAGCAGCCGCGGUAAUACGUAGGUGGCAAGCGUUGUCCGGAAUUAUUGGGCGUAAAGCGCGCGCAGGCGGCCUUUUAAGUCUGAUGUGAAAGCCCACGGCUUAACCGUGGAAGGUCAUUGGAAACUGGAAGGCUUGAGAAGAAGAGGAAAGGGAAUUCCACGUGUAGCGGUGAAAUGCGUAGAGAUGUGGAGGAACACCAGUGGCGAAGGCGCUUUCUGGU
rnacentral:rRNA from 1 species